GAUGAACGCUAGCUACAGGCUUAACACAUGCAAGUCGAGGGGCAGCAUGAUUGAAGCUUGCUUCAAUCGAUGGCGACCGGCGCACGGGUGAGUAACACGUAUCCAACCUGCCGAUAACUCGGGGAUAGCCUUUCGAAAGAAAGAUUAAUACCCGAUAGUAUAGUAUUUCCGCAUGGUUUCACUAUUAAAGAACUUCGGUUAUCGAUGGGGAUGCGUUCCAUUAGAUAGUUGGCGGGGUAACGGCCCACCAAGUCAACGAUGGAUAGGGGUUCUGAGAGGAAGGUCCCACACAUUGGAACUGAGACACGGUCCAAACUCCUACGGGAGGCAGCAGUGAGGAAUAUUGGUCAAUGGACGAGAGUCUGAACCAGCCAAGUAGCGUGAAGGGUGACUGCCCUAUGGGUUGUAAACUUCUUUUAUACGGGAAUAAAGUGGAGUAUGCAUACUCCUUUGUAUGUACCGUAUGAAUAAGGAUCGGCUAACUCCGUG
rnacentral:rRNA from 1 species